rnacentral:rRNA from 1 species
UACGGAGGGUGCGAGCGUUGUCCGGAAUCACUGGGCGUAAAGGGCGCGUAGGUGGCCCGUUAAGUGGCUGGUGAAAUCCCGCGGCUCAACUGCGGGGCUGCCGGUCAGACUGGCGAGCUAGAGCACGGUAGGGGCAGAUGGAAUUCCCGGUGUAGCGGUGGAAUGCGUAGAGAUCGGGAAGAAUACCAGUGGCGAAGGCGGCUCACUGGCCCGAUACUGACGCUGAGGCACGAAAGCGUGGGGAGCAAACAGG